rnacentral:rRNA from 1 species
GACGAACGCUGGCGGCGUGCUUAACACAUGCAAGUCGAACGGAAAGGCCCUGCUUUUGUGGGGUGCUCGAGUGGCGAACGGGUGAGUAACACGUGAGUAACCUGCCCUUGACUUUGGGAUAACUUCAGGAAACUGGGGCUAAUACCGGAUAGGAGCUCCUGCUGCAUGGUGGGGGUUGGAAAGUUUCGGCGGUUGGAGAUGGACUCGCGGCUUAUCAGCUUGUUGGUGGGGUAGUGGCUUACCAAGGCUUUGACGGGUAGCCGGCCUGAGAGGGUGACCGGCCACAUUGGGACUGAGAUACGGCCCAGACUCCUACGGGAGGCAGCAGUGGGGAAUAUUGCACAAUGGGCGGAAGCCUGAUGCAGCAACGCCGCGUGCGGGAUGACGGCCUUCGGUUUGUAAACCGCUUUCGCCUGUGACGAAGCGUGAGUGACGGUAAUGGGUAAAGAAGCACCGGCUAACUACGUG